UACGUAGGGCGCGAGCGUUGUCCGGAAUCAUUGGGCGUAAAGAGCUCGUAGGCGGUCGGUUGCGUCUGCUGUGAAAUCCCGGGGCUUAACCCCGGGCGUGCAGUGGAUACGGGCUGGCUGGAGGCAGGCAGGGGAGAGUGGAAUUCCCGGUGUAGCGGUGAAAUGCGCAGAUAUCGGGAGGAACACCAGUGGCGAAGGCGGUUCUCUGGGCCUGUGCUGACGCUGAGGAGCGAAAGCGUGGGGAGCAAACAGG
rnacentral:rRNA from 1 species